rnacentral:misc_RNA from 1 species
CCGAGCAAGGUCGCUGCGGUAAGAAUUACGGUCAAAAGGCGCGUCAUUAGAAUCCUCAUAAGAGAUCGUCAGACUGGGCGAAAAUGUUGGCGAACCAAGAUCACAGGUGCCACGAACUCUGCGAGAAAGGCCACAAUUUGCCUGUUUUCGCAACCCACGGACGCGUGAAAGGCUUCGAGGUAGCCCAUUAUGUGCCUGAGGCGUGANUGCGAGACAUGCCCCAUCUGCACGGUCAUGCGGCCGUUCCAAUCUAUCGCAGGCUUUGACG